CCAAUAGCGUAUAUUAAAGUUGUUGCAGUUAAAAAGCUCGUAGUUGAAUUUCGGGGUUAGUAGGUUGGUCAUGCCUCUGGUAUGUACUGGUCUCACUGAUUCCUCCUUCCUGAUGAACCGUAAUGCCAUUAAUUUGGUGUUGCGGGGAAUUUGGACUGUUACUUUGAAAAAAUUAGAGUGUUUAAAGCAAGCUAACGCUUGAAUACAUUAGCAUGGAAUAAUGAAAUAGGACGUUCGAUCCUAUUUUGUUGGUUUCUAGGAUUGACGUAAUGAUUAAUAGGGAUAGUUGGGGGCAUUAGUAUUCAAUUGUCAGAGGUGAAAUUCUUGGAUUUAUUGAAGACUAACUACUGCGAAAGCAUUUGCCAAGGAUGUUUUCAUUAAUCAAGAACGAAAGUUAGGGGAUCGAAGACGAUCAGAUACCGUCGUAGUCUUAACCAUAAACUAUGCCGACUAGGGAUCGGAUGAUGUUAAUUUUUUAAUGACUCAUUCGGCGCCUUAC
rnacentral:rRNA from 1 species